AAAAUUAAUGAAUUUAGUUUUAGAAUUUAAAAUAAUAAAUUAAUAACACAAUUAAUAAUACAACCUGAAACAAUAUCGACAAAUAAAAUCCACAGAACUACAUAAGUCUGCUCCAAAUGCUAAUUAAUCUUUAAAAGGCCGAAAAAGAGAACUAGUUGCUAGAUCAAACAACCACAGCAAUAGGCAUACCACUGCAGGCCACCAUGUUUCCCCAAGGAGUUUGAGCCAUAUUAAAUCUCCCAGUGACACUUCCCCUUGCCACGGAUUCCUCUCCUUCAUUGUUAUCAUGAAUU
rnacentral:lncRNA from 1 species